GGUCAAGCUACUAAGGGCGCAUGGUGGAUGCCUUGGCGGAAGAUGGCGAUGAAGGACGCGGCAAGCUGCGAUAAGCCUCGGAGAGCCGCAAGCAGGCUUUGACCCGGGGAUUUCCGAAUGGGGAAACCCACGCUGGUAAAACCGGCGUACGGCCCGAUGAAUCCAUAGUCGGGUACGAGCGAACCCAGGGAAGUGAACCAUCUCAGUACCUGGAGGAAAAGAAAUCAACCGAGAUUCCGAAAGUAGUGGCGAGCGAAAUCGGAAUAGCCCAAACCUGUUUCACCCUCGGGUGAAGCAGGGGUUGUAGGGUCCGCAACAGUAGAGUUACCAAUCCGUUCUCUAGUCGAAGCGCUCUGGAAAGGGCGGCCAUAGGGUGUGAUAGCCACGUAGGCAAAAGAGGACGGACUCGAAGCGGAUACCUGAGUACCGCGGGGCACGUGAAACCCUGCGGGAAUCCACGGGGACCAUCCCGUAAGGCUAAAUACAAGCUUCCGACCGAUAGUGAACCAGUACCGUGAGGGAAAGGUGAAAAGAACCCCUGUGAGGGGAGUGAAAUAGUACCUGAAACCGUGUGCCUACAAGCAGUGGGAGGGCUAUGUCCGGCGAGCAAUCGCAGGAAAUGCCUGACCGCGUGCCUAUUGCAUAAUGAGCCGGCUAGUUAUUCUUGUCAGCAAGGUUAAGCGCAAGCGAGCCGUAGCGAAAGCGAGUCCUAACCGGGCGUUCAGUUGGCAGGAAUAGACGCGAAGCGGGAUGAUCUACCCUUGGCCAGGUUGAAAGUGGGGUAACACCCACUGGAGGACCGAACCGGUGUUUGUUGAAAAAAGCUCGGAUGAGCUGAGGGUAGGGGUGAAAGGCUAAUCUGCGAAUGCCGUUGACAACCAGCACGGGAGUCAGACAGCGGGGGCUAAGCUUCGUUGUCGAGAGGGAAACAGCCCAGAUCGCCUGCUAAGGUCCCCAAAUUCCAGCUAAGUGGGAAAGGAUGUCGGAACGCCCAGACAGCCAGGAGGUUGGCUUAGAAGCAGCCAUCCUUUAAAGAAAGCGUAAUAGCUCACUGGUCAAGCGGUCCGGUGCCGACAAUUCAACGGGGCUCAAGCUGGAUACCGAAGCAGCGGAUGCAC
rnacentral:rRNA from 1 species